GACGAACGCUGGCGGCGUGCCUAACACAUGCAAGUCGAACGGAUUUGGGAGGUGUGAGGUUAGAGGUUAGAAGUGAGAUUAAGAAAAAAUCGGCGGAGCCGAUUUUAACUAGUCCCACAUCCAACUUCUCACCUCUCACUUCUCAAAUUAGUGGCGGACGGGUGAGUAACGCGUGGGUAAUCUGCCCUUAAGUGGGGGAUAACAGUCGGAAACGACUGCUAAUACCGCAUAAGCUGGCGGGAACACAUGUUUCUGUCAGGAAAGGUGGCCUCUUAACAAUGCUACCGCUUAAGGAUGAGCCCGCGUCUGAUUAGCUAGUAGGUGGGGUAAUGGCCUACCUAGGCGACGAUCAGUAGGGGUUCUGAGAGGAUUAACCCCCAACUGGUACUGAGACACGGACCAGACUCCUACGGGAGCAGCAGUGAGGAAUAUUGGUCAAUGGGCGAAGCCUGAACCGCCAUCCCCGGUGAAGGAAGACAGCCUUACGGGUUGUAAACUUCUUUUCGUCAGAAGAAU
rnacentral:rRNA from 1 species